CUGGCAUAUACUUUUUUUCUGUCUCUUCCUACAAGUAGAUUAAUUUCCAGAAGAUGCCAUUUAAAAAAAAUCACGGAUUAGAGCUGCAGCAUUUCUCUGAUACCUUCCAAAUAAACUCCAAACAUCAUG